rnacentral:rRNA from 1 species
UACGUAGGGUGCAAGCGUUGUCCGGAAUUAUUGGGCGUAAAGAGCUCGUAGGCGGUCUGUCACGUCGGCUGUGAAAACCCGGGGCUCAACUCCGGAUCUGCAUUCGAUACGGGCAGACUAGAGUUCGGUAGGGGAGUCUGGAAUUCCUGGUGUAGCGGUGAAAUGCGCAGAUAUCAGGAGGAACACCGGUGGCGAAGGCGGGACUCUGGGCCGAUACUGACGCUGAGGAGCGAAAGCGUGGGGAGCGAACAGG